UGGCAGUACAAGAAUAGAACUGGGAACCUUUCGGUUCCGAGCAGAAGAUCCUAACCACUAGACAAAAGGACUUCC